rnacentral:rRNA from 1 species
AGAGUUGAUCCUGGCUAGGACGAACGCUGGCGGCGUGCUUCAUACAUGCAAGUCGAACGAGAAGCUCACUCGGUGAGUGGAAAGUGGCGGACGGGUGAGUAAAAUGUAGAGAAUCUGCCCUAGAGAGUGGGACAACAGAGGGAAACUUCUGCUAAUACCGCAUAUGCGCGUAGCUGAGAUGCUAUUCGUGAAAACUCCGGUGCUCUGGGAUGAGUCUGCAUCUGAUUAGCUAGUUGGCGGUGUAAUGGACCACCAAGGCGACGAUCAGUAGCUGGUUUGAGAGGAUGAUCAGCCACAAUGGGACUGAGACACGGCCCAUACUCCUACGGGAGGCAGCAGUAGGGAAUUUUGCGCAAUGGGCGAAAGCCUGACGCAGCAACGCCGCGUGACCGAUGAAGCCCUUCGGGGUGUAAAGGUCUGUCAGUGGGGGCGAAACUUGACGGUACCCACAGAGGAAGCAUCGGCUAACUCCGUGCCAGCCGCGGC